GACGGAAGGUGCAAGCGUUGCUCGGAAUCACUGGGCGUAAAGGGCGCGUAGGCGGCCUUUCUAAGUCGAACGUGAAAUCCCCGGGCUCAACCCGGGAACUGCGUCCGAUACUGGAAGGCUUGAAUCCGGGAGAGGGAUGCGGAAUUCCAGGUGUAGCGGUGAAAUGCGUAGAUAUCUGGAGGAACACCGGUGGCGAAGGCGGCAUCCUGGACCGGCAUUGACGCUGAGGCGCGAAAGCCAGGGGAGCAAACGGG
rnacentral:rRNA from 1 species